rnacentral:rRNA from 1 species
UUAUCCGGAAUUAUUGGGUGUAAAGGGUGCGUAGACGGGAAGAUAAGUUAGUUGUGAAAUCCCUCGGCUUAACUGAGGAACUGCAACUAAAACUGUUUUUCUUGAGUGCAGGAGGUAAGUGGAAUUCCUAGUGUAGCGGUGAAAUGCGUAGAUAUUAGGAGGAACACCAGUGGCGAAGGCGACUUACUGGACUGUAACUGACGUUGAGGCACGAAAGUGUGGGGAGCAAACAGGAUUAGAUACCCUGGUAGUCCACACCGUAAACGAUGGAUACUAGGUGUAGGAGAUAUUAAGUCUUCUGUGCCGUCGCAAACGCAAUAAGUAUCCCACCUGGGGAGUACGGCCGCAAGGUUGAAACUCAA